rnacentral:rRNA from 1 species
UGGGGAAUAUUGGACAAUGGGCGCAAGCCUGAUCCAGCCAUACCGCGUGGGUGAAGAAGGCCUUCGGGUUGUAAAGCCCUUUUGUUGGGAAAGAAAUCCAGCUGGCUAAUACCCGGUUGGGAUGACGGUACCCAAAGAAUAAGCACCGGCUAACUUCGUGCCAGCAGCCGCGGUAAUACGAAGGGUGCAAGCGUUACUCGGAAUUACUGGGCGUAAAGCGUGCGUAGGUGGUCGUUUAAGUCCGUUGUGAAAGCCCUGGGCUCAACCUGGGAACUGCAGUGGAUACUGGGCGACUAGAGUGUGGUAGAGGGUAGCGGAAUUCCUGGUGUAGCAGUGAAAUGCGUAGAGAUCAGGAGGAACGUCCAUGGCGAAGGCAGCUACCUGGACCAACACUGACACUGAGGCACGAAAGCGUGGGGAGCAAACAGGAUUAGAUACCCUGGUAGUCCACGCCCUAAACGAUGCGAACUGGAUGUUGGGUGCAAUUUGGCACGCAGUAUCGAAGCUAACGCGUUAAGUUCGCCGCCUGGGGAGUACGGUCGCAAGACUGAAACUCAAAGGAAAUGACGGGGGUCAUAGCUG